rnacentral:rRNA from 1 species
AGCGAACGCUGGCGGCAGGCUUAACACAUGCAAGUCGAACGGGCGUAGCAAUACGUCAGUGGCAGACGGGUGAGUAACGCGUGGGAACGUGCCCUUUGGUUCGGAAUAACCCAAGGAAACUUGGGCUAAUACUGGAUAAGCCCCCGAGCAAUCGGGCGGAAUGAUUUAUCGCCGAAGGAUCGGCCCGCGUCUGAUUAGCUGGUUGGUGGGGUAACGGCUCACCGAGGCGAUGAUCGGUAGCUGGUCUGAGAGGACGGCCAGCCACACUGGGACUGAGACACGGCCCAGACUCCUACGGGAGGCAGCAGUAGGGAAUAUUGGACAAUGGGCGCAAGCCUGAUCCAGCCAUGCCGCGUGAGUGAUGAAGGCCUUAGGGUUGUAAAGCUCUUUCGGCGGGGAAGAUAAUGACGGUACCCGCAGAAGAAGCCCCGGCUAACUUCGUGCCAGCAGCCGCCGCGGUAA